UACGUAGGGAGCAAGCGUUGUUCGGAUUUACUGGGCGUAAAGGGCGCGUAGGCGGCGCGGUAAGUCACUUGUGAAAUCUCUGAGCUUAACUCAGAACGGCCAAGUGAUACUGCAGUGCUAGAGUGCAGAAAGGGCAAUCGGAAUUCUUGGUGUAGCGGUGAAAUGCGUAGAUAUCAAGAGGAACACCUGAGGCGAAGGCGGGUUGCUAGGCUGACACUGACGCUGAGGCGCGAAAGCCAGGGGAGCAAACGGG
rnacentral:rRNA from 1 species